GUAGCAGGUACCAGUUUUGGUGUACCAGAACAUGUGUCCCACGCAGAAAUUUUGUUAUAGUAAAGCAUUGAGGUAUAUAAUUGCAUCAUGUGGACUAAAAAAAUAAUUGAAUGUAAAUUCUAGGCUAGUAUACUACACAACUCUACUACAACGUUGAUACAGUAGGACAGAUUACAGAAAUAAGAAAACUGGCUUUUCUCAUCAGCAAUAGUGUGGCAAUUCUAAAAUUUCAACAUGCGGCCUACACAGCUAGCUCAUGUGGAGAAGAGAUAUGAGACUGGUUGCGAAUAAAUGUACACUUAGUUAAGUGCAUCAUGGAUCUACAAAGUGAAAUAUAUGUACCAAAAAUAUUAGUUUAUUCAUAACUAAGCCUUUUUCAGCACUGCAGUCAAUAGAACAAUGAUAGUGACAAGAAUUGAGACUAUUUCAUACCUCAAACUAUGGGAAAAUACUUCUUGAGAUCAGUUGUAAGUGGUUUUAUAUCAUGCAUGAAACAAUAAACUAAAGUAGUUUUAAACACUGUUGGAUAAUUUGUACACUGUACCAGAAAACUGACACAAUAAAAGUUAUUAAAUAUGAACACAAUCAUUUUUUUCUAAUUUUUUGGCAUUCAAAGCAGUAUGACGGCAAAAGACACAAAUAUUGCUAUAAUAAAUUUGGUCUUACAAAACCUAUAAAUGUUUUUUUUUUGUGCUGUAACCAUAUGAAAUGCAUGUAUUUUUAAUGGUUAAUAACUCAAGAACUCAAUCAGACUAAAAAAAUGUAAAUAAAUUGUUUUCAAUGAGUGGUUAAAGGUAGCAGGUACCAGUUUUGGUGUACCAGAACAUGUGUCCCACGCAGAAAUUUUGUUAUAGUAAAGCAUUGAGGUAUAUAAUUGCAUCAUGUGGACUAAAAAAAUAAUUGAAUGUAAAUUCUAGGCUAGUAUACUACACAAGUAAGUAGUUGCAUACACAGGUUGGGGAUUUCCUUCACACAUGGGUCCAAUCAGAUGUCAAAAUUGUGGUCUUCUCACUUGACGGCAUCCAAUCAAAGUAGUGAAAAUAUUCAUUUUUUUGUAAACAAAAAUAUCUUGAGAUUUUGAUGGUAAGGAUAGGUUCGGACAAUGCUCUAAUUCACUAAAUAUCCUUUAUCUCUUGAAUUUUGCCUAAAAUUCUUGUUGGCUUUUAGCAGGAUUCUGCAGCUCUACUACAACGUUGAUACAGUAGGACAGAUUACAGAAAUAAGAAAACUGGCUUUUCUCAUCAGCAAUAGUGUGGCAAUUCUAAAAUUUCAACAUGCGGCCUACACAGCUAGCUCAUGUGGAGAAGAGAUAUGAGACUGGUUGCGAAUAAAUGUACACUUAGUUAAGUGCAUCAUGGAUCUACAAAGUGAAAUAUAUGUACCAAAAAUAUUAGUUUAUUCAUAACUAAGCCUUUUUCAGCACUGCAGUCAAUAGAACAAUGAUAGUGACAAGAAUUGAGACUAUUUCAUACCUCAAACUAUGGGAAAAUACUUCUUGAGAUCAGUUGUAAGUGGUUUUAUAUCAUGCAUGAAACAAUAAACUAAAGUAGUUUUAAACACUGUUGGAUAAUUUGUACACUGUACCAGAAAACUGACACAAUAAAAGUUAUUAAAUAUGAACACAAUCAUUUUUUUCUAAUUUUUUGGCAUUCAAAGCAGUAUGACGGCAAAAGACACAAAUAUUGCUAUAAUAAAUUUGGUCUUACAAAACCUAUAAAUGUUUUUUUUUUGUGCUGUAACCAUAUGAAAUGCAUGUAUUUUUAAUGGUUAAUAACUCAAGAACUCAAUCAGACUAAAAAAAUGUAAAUAAAUUGUUUUCAAUGAGUGGUUAAAGGUAGCAGGUACCAGUUUUGGUGUACCAGAACAUGUGUCCCACGCAGAAAUUUUGUUAUAGUAAAGCAUUGAGGUAUAUAAUUGCAUCAUGUGGACUAAAAAAAUAAUUGAAUGUAAAUUCUAGGCUAGUAUACUACACAAGUAAGUAGUUGCAUACACAGGUUGGGGAUUUCCUUCACACAUGGGUCCAAUCAGAUGUCAAAAUUGUGGUCUCCUCACUUGACGGCAUCCAAUCAAAGUAGUGAAAAUAUUCAUUUUUUUGUAAACAAAAAUAUCUUGAGAUUUUGAUGGU